rfam:Anolis carolinensis chromosome 5, whole genome shotgun sequence.
GGAUGUGAGGGCGAUCUGACUGCAACAUCUGUCACUUCAUUGAUUGCCAGGGUUGAUUUGGCUAAUCUGGCUGACUGGGUGGGUGUCCCUUUCCUCCCUCAUGGCUCCAUGUGCAUCCCUCCUGAAGCUGCGUGCUCAGUGGAAGAGGAAGACAUCCCAGGUAUAGGAGUGUACCGAGGUCUCCAGUCUUCGAUCCCAGGUAUACGAUAGCAUAUUUUCCACAAUAUAUGUUGCUUCCUGGACACAUUUUCCUAUUUUGUACCAGAACAAGGUUAAAACAUGAAAAAUGUAUGCAUUUUUAUCACAAAUGUAU